GGCUCCUCUGCCGGUGAUUUCCCAGGUCCUGCCUUGCAUUUUUCUCCCUCAUCUUCACAUGUGGGGAGCCCCUGGCCCGCUGCUGAAGACCCCCAGACAAGCCUUCAGCUUCCACAUCAUGGAGGGUAGCGUGGCUGAUAGUCCUAAGUUCUUGGAAGAUGGUGUGCGCAGCUCCGGUACUUCAUGAUAUUCGGGCACCUGAGGACUGUUGGAGAAAUCUGUUCUGGUGGCCAUUUGAUGAGACUGGUUCCCCCCGUUCAUUCCUCAGACACUCUCAGAACACUGUGCCAAGGGACCCAGCAGUGAAGCGUGAAGUAGGAGCCGUGGACAGUGAUCCUGACGUGGGAGGCAGGAGGCCCCCAGGAGGGCGGAGCGUGACUUUUGUCCAGGAGGCUGGACUACCGACUUCAGCAGCAAGGGAGGGUGUCCUCUGGACUCCUGGGAAUUGACCACUAGCAUGCGCUGCUCCACUGACAAGGUAAGGCAGCAUGUUCUGAG
rnacentral:lncRNA from 1 species